UGCGAGGAUGCGAAUCAAAAUGACAUAACGCAAGAACUUGCACAGAGAUGGGAAUUGAAAAAGCAAACAAGAAACCUAGAUAAUGUGUUCAAAGCCGGUUUGCACAUAUUGACAAUAAUUGAAAUGUCAUAUGCGAUUAAUCAUAACGCGGCGAAAUUAUGUUGAUAUCUCGAUAAAAUAAUUAUAGAUAAAUAACAUGAGAGUUGUUGAAUCCAUAAAUUAAAAUCGAUGCUUUGUCAAUAAAUAAAAGGGUAAACAUUAAAAAAUAAAGUAAUGAGUAUAUGAGAAAUUAAAUUAAAACAUAAACACGAGAAUUAACAAUAGGAAGUUAAAUGCUAAAGAAAAAAAAACAAAAUGCCACAAGUGGGAAUUGAACCCAACACUAAGAGGGAUUUGAGCUAAUUCCCCCUCCACCAAGCUACAAACUGCUCGCUGACUAAACCAAUAGAAACUAGAUACUAAAACGAAACCCUUCCAAGGAAAAAAAACAAAUCGAAAAGGCCAACCAUGGGCCGCUGGACUAUGUUAAACCCAAAUCCCACAAACUAGGUUCCAGGCUCGGGUCAGCAAGGACUCGUUUCACUGUUUACUGGCCCAAAUAUGGAAAUGCUUAGAGGGAGCCAAAGGGUCAAAACCCUAUCCGCAUGACUGCCUUGCUUCAACCAAGGAAGAUGCCAUAUUAAAUGAUUGGCCGACAAUAAUCAAUGAGAAGCACACAAAAACGAAAAGCCAAUGCAUUGGGUAGUGAAAUCUGGCACGGUUGCAAACGGAAGGGGAGUUUGACGUCCGAAAUCAAACAACGUGGGUUUCAUGAAGAUGAAUGCAAUGAAGUCCAAACCGGACUAAAAGAAAUCCCAAAACCAAAGCUAACACAAAUUCCUCUCCCUCUUCAUUUACGAUCAAGAAGAAAUUACUAACGAUCGUGAGCAAAUCGAGAACCACAAGCAUGAUUGCGGAAGGACAAAAACUCACCAGUUGCAACGAGAUUGACAGGACUGGAAAGAGUAGUGGAGAACGUCCGUACGGAAGCCGUUUGGAGCUUUUGUCCUCAUCCCCAGUUUGUGGUCCCUCCUUCAAUUCCUCUCCAUCUCUAAAACUUCACUGUUGCAGUCUUGGCACGAUUUUGGUCUUGGCGUGAUUUCCAGGUUAGCACCAACAAUGGACCUAGAGUAUGGCUUCUUGGUAAGGUCUUUCUUAUAUUGCUUUCCAAAUACCUUGAAGGCUUCAAUCGGUUGUGGAAAUACCCCUCACGUUUUAAGUUCAUAAAACAGGAACACCUGAGAAUCGCUGCGAAUAAAUCUGAUGCCUCUUCUUGUGUUUUUUAGCAACCACUGCACUCAAAGCUUCUUCAGCAAGUUGGAUUAUUACACUCAAACUAGCACUCGUCAAUCUUGUCCCAUUGCUUCCAUGAUCACUCUCAGCUGCACUUCCAUCCAAACCAUAUUUUGCAGUUGUGCCAUUACUUUCUGCUGGCUCUCCAAACGCAUUUUGCAUACAUUGCUGAUAAUCUUUGGUUGUGCUUUCAGCUAAGCGAUCAUGAACUGAUCAGAGAUCUACUGCCUCCUUGUGGAUGAUGUGGUUACAAUGAUGAAGUUGAUGUUGAGCAUGCUCGACUUGGAAUCCUUGUUCAAAGCCUCCUACCUGUCUUUUAACGCUUCCGGCGCAUUCUUCCUGGGUAGAAGUCUUCUUAUGAGAUGUAGAGACACUAUUAUUUUACACGACUUGGAGUUCAGAAGAAAUAAAAGAGCCAAUCCCUCUCGAAGACUCGGGUUUCUUGUCAAAAAUUUCAGGUUUGGUGCUAAGUUCGAUACUCAACAUAUAGAACACUGAUGAGAUAAGCAGUCCAGCUUCCAAGAAUUCCAUAGAAUAUUUGAAUCAAGAUUCCAGAUAGCAUACCAUGUUGAGAGAAAGAAUAUGGAAGUGUCAACAAAAUUUGAGCCACUUGAUUUGAAGCACAACUGAACCAUGCAUCCCAAACAGAACCACCAUGCCAGAGAAAAUUCUUGACACUAAAUGAAUGAUCUUGUUCUUGCUCUUCUUCCUUUCCAAGUACUGAUUCUUGUUGAUUUGGUUUUGAUAGUGACCAUUGUGAUUUGGUUUAAUUUUUGUAGGGCCACAGUUGUUGUUUGCUGUAGUGACCAUGUCGUUGGACUAACCAGUUGUACCAGCAUUUGCCAUCAAAUUUUGAUCAGAGGAACCACUGUUUGAACUAGAUUUUGGUCAACAGAGAGAAGCAGGUUUCCAGGAAGCUCUCUAGUAGGAUCAUCCUCAGGGUUUUCUUGCAACUUCAAGGUUUGUUCAUCAACAUACUUGCUCUUGUCAGGAACAAUAAGCCAUGGAUAUAUUGGACAAGGUUCUUCUCCGUGCUGAGGAACAUGAUCACAUGAACGAAGAACAACAGCUCCCCCAUUGGAUGAUACUGAAAUUUACGAGUUACAGGAGGUCUUCGAUUUCCCUGACCAGGAAAUACGUUACGUGGUGUGAGCGUAAGGGUUGGCUUCCCUUUGAGAAUUCUUGUUUUGAUCUACUCUGUUGGCACUUCCAUUUGUUGAGACUCUCCCACAGUAACAAAAUUAAGUGGAUACAAGUCCUCUUUAUUGGCCACGCUGCCUAUUUCUUCAGAGCCUAAUACCAUACAAACAGCAGAAGAAACCACUAUUUCUCCAGAUACUGAUAUGAUAGAAUAGUAAUAACUUGAUCUAGAAUGCUUUAUUAGUUCAGACGUCUGUGCCUUGGAGCACGAGAAUCUCCACUGUCCACCUCAGACAAUCUUGAAGCAUCAGCUCUCCUCCUAGAAGAGGUUACCAUGGAAUCAAUUUGUACAGCAGUGUCCACUUGACUCUCCGAAUUUAUGACAGCGGCAAUGCUUGAAAAGGAGUCUCUGUGAUCAACUGAAGUAGGUGGUUAUUCUUGGUUUCUUCCUAAUGGAUUGCUACGGAAAUAUGCCUCAACCAACCUUUUAGUAGAAGUCAAUGCUGAUGAAAGACUAGAAAGAGUUGCUCUAUGUGAUUGUGAUCUUUUUGUGGUGAUAUUGCAUUGUUCAGGACUUUUGUAUGAAAGUUAUGUUUGAAUUAUUGUAAACCUUGUUUGGGACUGCUAUGAAUUUCCUGCUAUAACUUGUUGUUGGUGCCAUAUUCGACUGACAUUGUUGCAUUGUGAACUGGUAGGUUUGGCAAUGGAAUGCUGCAGGCUUGGUUUCUUGGUGCGCCGACGGAUGUACAUUUGGAAGAAUCAGAUGUAGAAUUUUCAAGGACUUCCUGCUGUUCACAAGUUUCUUCAGUAGAUAUACUAUUCUUGAGUGUGCUAGAAACCAACACUUGGUCUUGUGAAGUCACUUCACAAUUCAACUAUGUGCCUAAUAUAGAAAUUUCAUCAAUUUGACUGGAUACUUCUUUCUUCCUGUAAAUUUGUCUUUUAAGUAAAGCAUCCACCUGGAUUGCAGCUUUCAA